UGCCUGCAAUAGUAAAUCCUCUUUUGCAACCCAGAACUCAUUGCUGAUAUGAGAUUUUGGUACAUGUAAGAAGGAAUAUG
ensembl:snoRNA